UAUAGAUAAUAGCUCUGAAGAAUUUGGAAAGAAAAUAAUGAAAAUUAGAACAAGAAACAGUUCUCCUGUCUAUAAAGAUUAUAGUGAAAGUGAUGACAGUAAUACUGGCUCAAACUCAAUAAUGGUCAAACAAAUUUAUUCAAUAGGACCAACAAAAUAGUUUCAUUUUGAAUAUAAUAAAAGAUAAGGCGAACAAUCAGAUUGCAGCAAGAAUUCACAACAAAUAAAAUUGAAAUCACUUCCUAACUUUCCACUGCUUUUAAAAGAAAACCAACCUACAGCAAGCCUAAUGACAAUGAAAGAUAAAGAAUCCCUUCAAUCUGUAAACGCAAAUGAAGUUAAAGUUUCAAGUACUAUUAUGCAACCAAGACAUGAAGCACGCAGUUUGGAAUUGACCAACUUUGAGUUGUCAGACAUUUCAGAACAAGAUGACUUAAAUUUAAAGGACUCUUCUGUGAAUGAUGACGAUUCACUGCAGUCACUGUUAAAGAAAUUACAUGUUAUUACUCUAAAGUCAUAUCAAAGCAUUAAAGAAUUAACUUUGAGAGUUUGUAGAAUAGAAGAUGAUUUGUG
rnacentral:lncRNA from 1 species